AGUACGGCGAGUGAGCGGGAGAGCUCAAAUUUGUAAUCUGGCACUUUCAGUGUCCGAGUUGUAAUCUCGAGAAGUAUUUUCCGCGCCGGACCGCAUACAAGUCUGUUGGAAUACAGCGUCAUAGUGGUGAGAACCCCGUAACUGAUGCGGAUGCCCGGUGCUUUGUGAUAUACUUUCGAAGAGUCGAGUUGUUUGGGAAUGCAGCUCAAAUUGGGUGGUAAAUUCCAUCUAAAGCUAAAUAUUGGAGCAAGACCGAUAGCGAACAAGUACCGUGAGGGAAAGAUGAAAAGCACUUUGGAAAGAGAGUUAACAGUACGUGAAAUUGUUGGAAGGGAAACGCUUGAAGUCAGACUUGCUAUUCGGAGUUCAGCCGCAAGGUGUAUUCUUCGAUUCGCAGGCCAGCAUCAGUUUUCGGGGGUGGAAAAUCACGGUUUGAAGGUAGCAACCUCGGUUGUGUUAUAGCUUUCCGUUGGAUUCAUCCUUGGGGACUGAGGAACGCAGUACGCUUUUUGCAAGGCUCUCGAGCUUUUCGUACUUAGGAUGCUGGUGGAAUGGCUUUAAACGACCCGUCUUGA
rnacentral:rRNA from 1 species